rnacentral:lncRNA from 1 species
GGCCGCACCCUCUGCAUAUGGAGGUUCCCAGGCUAGAAGUCAAAUCAGAGCUACAGCUGCCAGCCUAUGCCAGAUCCGAGCCUCGUCUGCAACCUACACCACAGCUCGGAGCCAUGCCAGAUCCUUAACCCACUGAGUGAGGCCAGGAUUCGAACCCGCAUCCUCAUGGAUACUAGUCGGGCUCAUUAACCACUGAGCCACACGGGAACUCCUGGCCCUCUGAAUUUUAAAAGCAAAGUUUUUUUCCCUAAAAUAAGAAAAUAUAUUUUUUUUAAUUUGGGAAAGCUAAGAAAAACAAAAGACUGGGGGCGGGGGGAAUCCUUGUGUGUGGAAUGACUGCUUAACAUUAAUACAUAAAUAGUUUUGGAAGACUUAUAAUUGAUAAGAAUUGGGCUGAGACAGAUCUUCCUUCCUAGACAAAUCUCUAAUCUCUGUCUAUAAGUUUUGAAGACAAACAGAAAAGUGGUUGUAUGAACAAAUACACGGUGUUACAGCUUCCAAGGGUGCCAUUAAGGAAAUAAGCAGGCAUGUGUGAUGGAGAAUAAUGCAGCUCACAUCAGGGCACAAGAGCUGAUUGUUACAUUUCAGAAGUUUUGCCAACCCUGGGCUCCACGUUAGCAGCAUGGACUCAGCUAUGGUCGUGGUACUUACACCAUAGAAAGCAGCAAACCCUAGCAGUCAGGGAUUCUUCCUCUUCCCCUGAGAGCGGUGGUUAAAUAUUUACCAGUACACCACUGAUAACUGUGUAGAGGAAUUGGGCUAAUUUCUAUUUUUCUUUUAUUUAUUUAUUUUGCUUUAUAGGGCCGCACCCGAGGCAUAUGGAGGUUCCCAGGCUAGGGGUCCAAUCAGAGCCACAGCUGCCGGCCUACACCACAGCAAGGGCAAUACCAGAUCCUUAACCCACUGAGGGAGGCCAGGGAUUGAACCCACAACUUCAUGGUUCCUAGUCAGAUUUGUUUCCACUGCACCACAACGAGAACUCCUGGGCUGAUUUUUAAAUAUAAGAUGUCAUGGCCAAGGAGAUAACAUUUAUUUUUUUUUUUAAUAAUGAUUUUUUUUCCCAUUAUAGUCAGUUUACAGUGUUCUGUCAAUUUUAACACUGUAAAUCAACUAUAACGGAAAAAAUAAAAAUCUUAAAAAAAGAAAAGAAAGAAGUGCAAGGCAGGCCAGUUGGCGACCUGAGGGUUCUCUAGGAAUGAUGGGCAGACGGGGGUGGUUCCAGAGCAGUGAGGGGGGGGAUGCAGUGAGUUGGAUGGGAUAAUAUGGGAUUUAGUGAGUCAAGGCAAAGCAUGUCCUUGUUCUUUCAAGAGCAGGGAGAGCCGUUGAAGGGUUUUAAGCUGGGGAGGGGUGUGUGUGUGUGACCUGAUUUGAUUUUCAUGUGAGGAGGCUCACCCUGGCUACUGUAUGAGGGAUGAAUUAUAAGAUGAUGGGACAAGCAUGGAGGCAAGGUAGCAUCGAGGGUGUGAGGUGAUGUUACAUGCACUCCUAUGAGGGUGGCACUGUAGACAAAGAGAGAAGACGGAUUUAAGAGAUACUGUGGACGAAGAGCUGGCAGGAGACUUGGCUGCCAUGUGCAAUCAUUACUAGUGUUUUUUUCCUUUUUUUAGGGCUCCACCUGCAGCAUAUGGAAGUUCCCAGGCUAGGAGUUGAAUCUGAGCUGCCGCUGCCAGCCUACAGCACAGCCACAGCCACAGCAACACCAGAUCCAAGCCAUGUCUGCAACCUACACCACAGCUCACAGCAACAUCAUAUCCUUAACCCACUGAGCGAGGCCAGGGAAUGAACCCCCUUCCUCCUGGAUACAAGUUGGGUUCAUUACCACUGAGCCACAGCAGGAACUCCACUAGAGUUUUUUCCAAGAAAGAAAAAUGUUACACACAAGAACAGAAUGAGUACUUUUUGUGGAUGAAUGUGAGUCUUUCCGCUACAUGAAGCGGUGAGUCAGCCUCCCUACAGAAGAGGAACGGUGGAAUUGAGAUGCCUGGGGUGAACCUCAGAGCUUGCCUUCUCAUUGUCCUGUCACCCGGCCUUCUCCUCUCGCUUCGGCGCACUGGGGGAGUGGUACUUCCAGCCUGGCUCCUUUGAUGGCAGCUUAAGGAGCACUGGUCCCGAGGGAGGGGUGUCACCUUCGGAAACCCUGGACCUUGACUGGCUUCAGAACAGAGGUUCCAGUCCUCCACUGAAUCCGUAUUUAUUUGGCUCCAAAUUGACCCAAAGGUCUAUUUUCCUUAAGUACCACUUUUCUAAGAGAAACUCAGUUCUUUUUUUCCUUUGAAAUGUAAGUGCUACAACUAGGUGCUAUAAAAUAACCACACUGAGGAAACCUAACUAAUAAAAAUGAUAUUGAGGGAGUUCCUGUUGUGGUUCAGGGGAUUAAGAACCCAACUAGUAUCCAUGAGGAUGCGGGUUCAAUCCCUGGCCUGGCUAGUGGGUUAAGGAUCCGGCGUUGCUGUGGCUGUGGCGUAGGCUGGCUGCUUGCUGCUGCUCCAAUUUGACCCCUAGUCCAGGAACUUCCAUAUUCUGUAGGUACAGCCCUAAAAAAGAA